GGCUAAUUACGUGCCAGCAGCCGCGGUWAUACGUAGGUGGCAAGCGUUGUCCGGAUUUAUUGGGCGUAAAGGGAACGCAGGCGGUUUUUUAAGUYUGAUGUGAAAGCCUUCGGCUUAACCGAAGUCAUGCAUUGGAAACUGGAAGACUUGAGUGCAGAAGAGGAGAGUGGAACUCCAUGUGUAGCGGUGAAAUGCGUAGAUAUAUGGAAGAACACCAGUGGCGAAAGCGGCUCUCUGGUCUGUAACUGACGCUGAGGUUCGAAAGCAUGGGUAGCAAACAGGAUUAGAUACCCUGGUAGUCCAUGCCGUAAACGAUGAAUGCUAAGUGUUGGAGGGUUUCCGCCCUUCAGUGCUGCAGCUAACGCAUUAAGCAUUCCGC
rnacentral:rRNA from 2 species